rnacentral:rRNA from 1 species
UGGGGAAUUUUGGACAAUGGGGGAAACCCUGAUCCAGCCAUCCCGCGUGUGCGAUGAAGGCCUUCGGGUUGUAAAGCACUUUUGGCAGGAAAGAAACGUCGCGGGUUAAUACCCCGCGAAACUGACGGUACCUGCAGAAUAAGCACCGGCUAACUACGUGCCAGCAGCCGCGGUAAUACGUAGGGUGCAAGCGUUAAUCGGAAUUACUGGGCGUAAAGCGUGCGCAGGCGGUUCGGAAAGAAAGAUGUGAAAUCCCAGAGCUUAACUUUGGAACUGCAUUUUUUAACUACCGGGCUAGAGUGUGUCAGAGGGAGGUGGAAUUCCGCGUGUAGCAGUGAAAUGCGUAGAUAUGCGGAGGAACACCGAUGGCGAAGGCAGCCUCCUGGGAUAACACUGACGCUCAUGCACGAAAGCGUGGGGAGCAAACAGGAUUAGAUACCCUGGUAGUCCACGCCCUAAACGAUGUCAACUAGCUGUUGGGGCCUUCGGGCCUUGGUAGCGCAGCUAACGCGUGAAGUUGACCGCCUGGGGAGUACGGUCGCAAGAUUAAAACUUAAAUGAAUUG